AGUUGGUCAUGAUUGAAUGACUGAAGAACAACACAGAUAUCUCUCUCUUGAAUCCUUCAAGCAGAUUUGAGUCAUGACAAGAAAUGUUUUGUGAGGACCAAAGUCUAUUCAAAAGAAACAAAGAAGAACCUGCACACUUCAGUCUUCCACUGGAUAUAAAGACUUUCCAAUCUGAGCAAAAAGAAGGCAAUUAUAAGAAAGAAUAUGAUGGGACUUACAGAAUCAUCUGAAAGUGAUGAGCUGUGAGAUCUCACUGAAUUGAAUAUAACACAGCUAUAAAAUUACAGGAUUUAAUAUGAAGCCUAAUAAAUCUGAUGCAUUCUAAAGCUAAUCAUAACUUCUAGGAUAUUUUUGUCUUAUCCAAAACAAUUUUGGGAGAUUCAGUUUGAGGGAAGGAGGGCAAAAUAUCAAGCCAGAUAUUUUGGAAAUAGGUAAAAAUUUCAAUCGGAUAUGAAACAAUGUGACCUAGAAUUUUGAAAUUGACUGCUCUCAUAAAAAGAAAAAAAAAUACAAUUCUUUUUCCUCCUUAUAUUGCUUACCAAGCAAAUUUGCAAUAAAUGAAUAAAUCUUCAGAUUCAGUACAUUGAUGUAAUCAAUAUAUCUUUGGAAAUGAACGUGUUACCAUACUGUAGACAUUUAAUAUAUGGAAACAAGAUUCUCUUAUCCUCUAUCACCAUUUCUCAAUGUAGACAUGACCCUGAUCCAUGCUUCCCUGAUUCCUCAGAUUCUUGAUGAGAGUAAGGAGAAAAAAUCAAG